AUUGAACGCUGGCGGCAUGCUUUACACAUGCAAGUCGAACGGUAACAGGCCGCAAGGUGCUGACGAGUGGCGAACGGGUGAGUAAUGCAUCGGAACGUGCCCAGUCGUGGGGGAUAACUACUCGAAAGAGUAGCUAAUACCGCAUACGAUCUAUGGAUGAAAGCGGGGGACCGUAAGGCCUCGCGCGAUUGGAGCGGCCGAUGUCAGAUUAGGUAGUUGGUGGGGUAAAGGCUCACCAAGCCAACGAUCUGUAGCUGGUCUGAGAGGACGACCAGCCACACUGGGACUGAGACACGGCCCAGACUCCUACGGGAGGCAGCAGUGGGGAAUUUUGGACAAUGGGCGCAAGCCUGAUCCAGCAAUGCCGCGUGCAGGAAGAAGGCCUUCGGGUUGUAAACUGCUUUUGUACGGAACGAAACGGCUCUGGUUAAUACCCGGGGCUAAUGACGGUACUGUAAGAAUAAGCACCGGCUAACUACGUG
rnacentral:rRNA from 1 species